rnacentral:lncRNA from 1 species
ACACAAUUGGCCUGGAAGGAGCCCAGGAGGUGUGAUGGGGGCACCCUAGGGAGGGGGAGGGGCCUGCAGUCAGGCAUCUGGGUAGGCUGGCCUGUCACUGGGGGCUCUUUUGAGUAGUUUGAAUUUUUUACUGUGGGUGUGGAGCAUGUACAACAAACAAAAUUAAAAAUGUAAGAAACAAACAGAGGGAUUCUCCUAAGGGUAAAGAGAGAGGACAGGGUGGGGACACUGUGGGGGCCUCACACGGUAGCAGCCCCCUCCCCCACAGAAACUUCUCCAUCUCGUGAAGUCUCUGGGUCAAUCCUCACAGCAGAGAGGGGUUGCAGAUGAGCAUCUGAGGCUCAGAGAAGUUGAACAACCUAUUUGAGGACACACAGCAGGAGCCAGGAGUCCCCAGGGACACUGCCCUGGCUUCUGCAGCAAUGUGUGCUCUUCCAGGUGUCAGUCGUUUGCUCCUGUCCACGCUGGAGCUCCACUCCACGUGGCCAAGGGCACAGCCACAGCCACAGGCGUGGGCUAGGUGGUGACUCGACGCAGACUUGGACCCCAACUCUGACCUCAGCCUGGGAGUGCACAAGGACAGAAGCUGUCUGCAGCUAAGCCAGUGGGCCUUUAUUAAGGGCCAUCUGUGCGCUGGGGUGUUGCCUCUGGACCCCAUGAACAUGGGGAACUGUACCCCCUCCAGACCUCAUCUCUUGGGACUCCUGGGAUCUUACACGCCUUGCCCCCAACUCUACCCCGUAUGUUUCAUCUCAGCCUUUGUGGACCCUCCUGAGUGCCUGCUUCAUGCUGGGUGCAGGGGAUACUGUGGGUGGGACCUGGCUCAGCUCAUGGAAGGGGCAGGCAGGGAAGGCUUCCUGGAGGAAGAGGGGCCUAAGCAAGGGUUAUGGGAUAGGUCAGAUAGGCAGUGGAAACAGGAGCAGCCUGAGGCCCAGGUGAGGAACAGGCCAUCCGCAGGCUGUUCCGCAUCACUAGAACCCAGCGUGCUGGGCAGGCCUGGAGGGAGCCAGGGAUGGCUGGAAAGGGCAGAGGGGCAUGGUCUGAACUGAGUUAGGGUCCAGGAGGGGCCUCGACUGGGCAGGUGUGUGUGAGGAGUGCCCCUGGGACCCUGAGCACCACUGCUCAGCAUGGGACACGGUGGGGUCCUCCUGGAUCCUACAGCUGGCUAGGGCCCCAGAGCAGCAAGCUGCCAAGAGCAUGGAGCAGCACGUGACAUUCUUCUCGCCUGCAUAGUAGUUCUGUGAGUCAUCCACACAGGCCGAGCUGCACCCCUUGCUGAUGACGGUCAGGAGGCCA